GCGGAGACUUGUAGGUUCUCCGCAACUCGGCCAGGAAGCCCUGAUAGUUGUUCCGCAAAGGGCUGUCCGGUUGCAUGUGCGGGAUCGCCCACUUCUCCGCCUCGCCGGUGA
rnacentral:pre_miRNA from 9 species